UACGGAGGGGGCUAGCGUUGUUCGGAAUUACUGGGCGUAAAGCGCACGUAGGCGGAUUGGAAAGUUGGGGGUGAAAUCCCGGGGCUCAACCCCGGAACUGCCUUCAAAACUCCCAGUCUGGAGGUCGAGAGAGGUGAGUGGAAUUCCGAGUGUAGAGGUGAAAUUCGUAGAUAUUCGGAGGAACACCAGUGGCGAAGGCGGCUCACUGGCUCGAUACUGACGCUGAGGCACGAAAGCGUGGGGAGCAAACAGG
rnacentral:rRNA from 1 species